UUCGGAUAUGAACCUUAAUUGAUGUGAAAAUGCUGAGAAUACCGUCCAAUUCGCACAUACGGUCAUAUCCUAGAACAAAGAACUCAGGAACUCUGUGCAAUGGCAUUGAAGCUUGUGACAUUGCAUCGUUCUUCCUGCGACAUUU